CACGUAGGCGGACAUUUAAGUCAGGGGUGAAAUCCCGGGGCUCAACCCCGGAACUGCCUUUGAUACUGGGUGUCUAGAGUAUGGAAGAGGUAAGUGGAAUUCCGAGUGUAGAGGUGAAAUUCGUAGAUAUUCGGAGGAACACCAGUGGCGAAGGCGGCUUACUGGUCCAUUACUGACGCUGAGGUGCGAAAGCGUGGGGAGCAAACA
rnacentral:rRNA from 1 species